GCUCGUCGACAGGCAGGAACGCGGGCUCGCCUCUCAACGCGGUUACCUCAGUGUUGGGGUUGUGGGCGCGAGACGCCCCUCGCCCCCGGUGUUCGGGUUGCGGGCCUCAGGCGGGCGUCGGUCCACGGCGACCCCGCAGGCCCUGGUCUGGUGUCCGCGCGGACGCUGAGGCUUCGGGGUGCGCUGGGCUUUUGCUGGGGCGGGCGGGGGGCGUGCACACGCUUUCUCCCCAGCACGCGUGGGCCUUUAUGCGUGGGGCUUUUCACGACUCUCGGGAGUUAGCUGGACACCCUGGGCACCUUUGGACGUCCUUCGUAGACGCGCUGUGACGUGUGUGUUAGCCCAUGUGCUUUUCAAAAUAGCCUUGGAAGGAGCUCCAGCAGCCAUUUCAGACCGUGGGGUGACCUUGGGAAGUGCGAGGACAGACAUGAGGGAACAAGACGUCCGGAGGCUUGGGGGCUGGUGGAACUGAACUGAGACCCCCCACACACACACCCCGAGAAUCCUGAGGGAGCUGAUCCCCAGUGUCGGCGGGAAGCGUAUCUGCCAGGUGCGACGGGGGACUGUAGUGGACGCGAGUACCCGCCCCUCCCUUGUCCGCAGAGGGCCACCUUCCUAGGUCAGAAAUAAUGGACAGUGGAUGGCUACCAACAGACCACUGAAAGCCAUGAAGUCUCUUCGGUUGCCUGCAAAAAAAGCCUCAUCUCCUGCACUGAGACAAUAAAGACAAGGGCCAGGCUCAAGAAUUAGUAUCUCAAAGAUGGUUGGGUGUGUUAACUACACCAAUCAGAGAAGGGCAGACCCAGCACCGAGGGAGGAGCCCAGCGUUACCUGGAGAGCCUGCUUCACUGAGACACGACACCUGGAGAGCCUGCAUCACUGAGAUACGACACCUCGCGGGCCUUCUUUGGUAUGAAGAAUGUUUGGCCCACAUCAGGCAGGUGCAUUUUGGUAACUAAGUAUGGGUGGGUGAGAACAAAUUCUUCGUAGCCAAAGGGUCACCUGCCA